AUUGAACGCUGGCGGCAGGCUUAACACAUGCAAGUCGAACGAGUGGCGGACGGGUGAGUAAUGUCUGGGAAACUGCCUGAUGGAGGGGGAUAACUACUGGAAACGGUAGCUCAUACCGCAUACCAUCGGAUGUGCCCAGAUGGGAUUAGCUAGUAGGUGGGGUAAUGGCUCACCUAGGCGACGAUCCCUAGCUGGUCUGAGAGGAUGACCAGCCACUCUGUAACUGAGGCACGGUCCAGACUCCUACGGGAGGCAGCAGUGGUGAAUAUUGCACAAUGGGCGCAAGCCUGAUGCAGCCAUGCCGCGUGUGUGAAGAGUGCCGUCGGGUUGUAAAGUACUUUCAGCGAGGAGGCGUUACCCGCAGAAGAAGCACCGGCUAACUCCGUUCCAGCAGCCGCGGUAAUUC
rnacentral:rRNA from 1 species